GUGAGGAAUUUUCCGCAAUGGGCGAAAGCCUGACGGAGCAAUGCCGCGUGAAGGAUGAAGGCCUAUGGGUUGUAAACUUCUUUUCUUAGAGAAGAAUAUUGACGGUAUCUGAGGAAUAAGCAUCGGCUAACUCUGUGCCAGCAGCCGCGGUAAGACAGAGGAUGCAAGCGUUAUCCGGAAUGAUUGGGCGUAAAGCGUCUGUAGGUGGCUUCAAAAGUCUCCUGUCAAAGCUCAGGGCUUAACCCUGGGCCGGCAGGAGAAACUCUGAGGCUAGAGUUUGGUAGGGGCAGAGGGAAUGCCCGGUGGAGCGGUGAAAUGCGUAGAGAUCGGGAGGAACACCAAAGGCGAAAGCACUCUGCUGGGCCACAACUGACACUGAGAGACGAAAGCGAGGGGAGCAAAAGGGAUUAGAAACCCCAGUAGUCC
rnacentral:rRNA from 1 species